UAUAAGAUGCAUGUGGUCAUUUCAGAGUCUUCCGUGAACAGAAGAAUAUGCACAAAGCCCAGGUUUACAAGAGCCUCAUUGUAAAACUGUUACAGAUAAGUUCUUGAACCUAUGGACUCGCAUACUUGAAAAAAAAAAAAAAGAAAAAAGAAAUUCCACAUUGCUAUUUUGGGUAGCAAAAUCUGCACUGCCAAGGAGAUAUGGCUCCUAUGAACAACUCGGGAAGAAAACACUGCGUGCGCCACAAUUCUACUAAUUACUGCUGGGCUCUGAUGACAUUAGUUUACUGAUAGCCUCGUAAGAGUGGUGUUUAUUUGGAAAAAAAAAUAAAAAUAAAGCUAUCACAUUAGCCAGACUCCUCAGACUAAUGUUAAGAUUAUCGGACUUUGGACUUCCACCAGAAUGUGGGUUAUUUUCCCGGUCAACAAGGAAGGUCUUUAUAUAUUCUCAUGACGUGGUGUUUAUUUACACAGGCUUUAGAAGGUGCAGCCUCCGGACACCAGCAAAGAGGCCCUACACACAGGAGAUGGAUCCAGCGGCCGGAGCGGUUUGGAAAGAUUUCUCGGCACUGCGACAGGAGAGCCGUGAGGACAAUUUCGCCGUCAAUCAGGCGAAGUCGGUGCAGGUCCCUGCUGCCCCGGGUCCCGGUGUGGGUCCCCGUGUGGGUCCCGGUUUACAGCCCGUCUCCAAGCAGAAAGCCUCCUCACCGAGGGGCCGUGGUCUGGAAAUGCUGUGAUGCCUUCAGGUGUAUACCAGGAAUGAGCACAUCGAGGUGAGUCUGUGUGCAUGGACUCACAGAUACGCCCGUUUCCUGGCUCUGUCUGCAGACAGGGCCUGAGGCCAACUCCGACAGCAGUGAGCACCCGUGCUGACCCGAUCUUGGCUUCUGUAUAGCAUUCUCCAGUAAAAGAAGGUGGAGUGUGUUGGAGAAGAGGCUGAUUCCAGGGCAGGACAAUACAAGGUGAGCCUAACAUGCCCUGUGGUGCCAAACUCUUGAGAAAGGAUGGCGGUUUUCAGAGAGACAGAACCCAACCUAACAAAGCUCAUCUCUAAGGGCCGACGGCUCCCAAUUACUUAUGGAAUAAUCUGAGUAAUGAAGUAAGAGAUGACAGUAUUGUACUUUAACUCACAGACCAAGUAAACAUCAGUGAGUUCACAUGGAUAUAAAUAUUUAACUAAAUAAAUGGUGUAGAAGGACAGCUUUUCCUUACAGGUAAAUUCUGAGUAUAAACAUAAAUGGAAUGAAAGACAUACACAACCAUGAGACAAACACCACGAGACUGUUCAUUUCAGGCAGGCUCUGCUGAUGGAUGCUAAAACCAGUGAACAAAAGUUUUAGGAGAAACAGGGGUUUUCAUACUAUCAAAGAUCUCCCUCAGCGGCAAAGGAAACUUGGUGACUUCACAGUGGAGAAACGCAGCCGAGGCCACCACUACCAAGUGAAGGACAUGACCUGUAGACCUAUCAGGUACCCCCACACGAGAUUCUGAUGACACAGCACUUCCGUGGUACUCUUCAAAAAAUGCAUCACCUCAGUCGAGUCGGGAGAAAACAGCUGGUUAACUGUAAUCAAGAGGCAUUCUACCAAGUAGCCAGUCAACAGUCAUCAAAAGCAUCAAGGCCAUGAAAGACAAGAAAAAACUUAGGAACUGAUAUAGACUAGAAAGGAUACAGGAAACAUCAGAAUGCAACGUGGAAUACUGGAUUGGAUCCUGAAGCAGAAAAAGAACACGAGGGGCAAACGCUCGUGAAAUCUGAGUAAGAUCUGUGUCAGGAACGUUGGGCCAAUGUUAAUGUCCUGGUUUUGAUAAUUUUGCUAUGGUUAAUAAAUUGUUAACCCAGAGGAAGCUCAAUGAAGGGCACAUGUGAACUCUGUACUAUUUCCACGACUUCUCUGUAAGUCUAAGUGCUGAUAAAAAGUCAAACAGCUGUUUACCAAGUACUCAUUCUGAGCACUGCCCAUGUGCCUGUUUCCCAGAAGUUCUUGGUGAACGCUACAACCAUUCUUAAUUAUUUCAAGAUUGUGUGUGUGAUAGAGAGAGAGAGGUAUGAAGGAAGAGGCCUCUAGAUCCAGCCACGCCUGAAUUCAUUCCUGGAGUUGUCAAUUAUAAGCUGAUUUUCUUUUCUUUUCUUUUUUUGCUUUUGUGAUAGACUUGUAUUUUUAUGAUUUGUAGUGGAGUAUCCUCUCACUAAUAUGCUAACUUAUGGCCUGCUUCAUCCUAAGACAUAUUGAGGCAGGUUACAGAUGCUCACAGAAGAGAAUAAACAUAAAUCAAGAAAGCAAAAUGAAAAUAAAGCAGCAGGAGAUACAGCAAAGCCAGAGUAAAGCUACUACACAAAAAGCAGCACCAUAGCACCCCACUAGCUGACAGCAUCACCAUCAGCAGCACACCGACUGAAUGCUUGUUUUAUUGUAACAAGGACUGUGUUUAACUUUGCGCCAUCCCUACGGGGGAAGACACUCACCUCCAUUUUACACACCAGACAACCGAGGCACAGGGAGAUUACUUCCCUUGAUCAAGGCUAAACAGCUAAUGGAGUUGGGGCAGGAAUCUGAACCCAGGAAACCUGGCUUCAGGGCCUGCAUUCUUAAACAGUUCACUAUGAGGCUUUCAGCUUCCUGGCAAUGAAUGCAAAGUCAUUUAUGGCACUCAUUGUACAAUAACGAGAUUCUCUGGUGUCGGGAGACUGUUACUAUCAGCCCUAACUUCAUGCUGUUACUAAGAUAUAAGUUCUACAUAAAUAAUAGCAGCUGAGGAGUUUUAUAGCACUCACAGCUCACGCACAACUGCUUUCCCUCCAAUAGUAAAAACUUAGGCAAAGACACAUGGAACCUGAAAGCAAUCUUACACAGUUCCUGACAGUUUUCUAGAGGUGACAAUUACAGCCGUAUUGGCUUCCUAUUGCUGAUACAACACAUUACCACAGAUUUGGUGAUUCAAACAAAUUUAUUAUCUUAUUCUUCUGGAGAUCUGAGGUCCGACAUAGGUCUCACUAGGCUAAAAUCAAGAUGUCAGCAGGGAGGGCUACAUUCCUUCUGGUGGCUCUAGGGAACAACCUGUUUCCUUGCUUUCUCCAGCUUCUAGAGGCUACCCUCCUUCCUUGGCUCCUGGCUCCCUUUAUCCAUCUUCAAAGCCAGCAAGAGCAGGUAAAGAUGCUUCUAGAAAGGCUAUUUCCCUGAUUUUCUCUUUUGUCCACCAAGAUGACCCAGGAUCAUCUUCCAGGUCAGCUGUUUAGCAAUCUUACUUACUUCUGCAAUCCUAAUUCCCUUUGCCAAGUGGCACAUUCACAUGUUUUGGGGGAUGAGGACAGGACAGCCUUGGGGCUCACUACUCUGCUGACCACAGGAACUAAUACUUAUUAAGCAUUUUAUGUGCCAGGUAAAUAACCUGAUAAGUAACAAUGAUAUAACAGUGAAAAAGCCGCAAAAUUAAUAGACAUAGAACCCUGGCUGGAGAACUAUUCCUUUAAAAAGAAACUACUGAUUAUACUGGGCUUCUCACUUACACACAUCAUCUUCCUUGACCAGAAUCGACACUGGCGUCAGACAGCCCACUGGGAGGUUCUGGUGAUAAUCCUAGGGCAUCUGCAACAUUCCAGGCCUCUGAUGGUCUCCAAACAUAAUUAUUUGUAUAUUCUAGUUGACAUAGCUAAAGCACUCUUGGUCAUCCCAAUUACCACAGUCUGAAAGAAAAGUGAUUCUGACCAAUAAUACAAGAAUGCCAAAAUUAUCUGAAACUUGGCUAGUUUGAGAUCUUUGAAAACUUGGGCAAUUUAAACAGUCUUUUGAAUUCUACAAGAGUUUUACAUAAUUAACUAAUGUCAAAUUAGAGAUUUUAGCAAGUAAGAUAAAUAUUGAUUUUUCACUUGUUGUUCCAAAAGAUGCACCAGUGACUCCAGUUGUUACAUUUACUUUGGGAGGCUUCACAACAGUCAUCAGUUACUGGUCAUAACUUUUUGAUCUAUAAAUGUCAUCUGAGCUUUCCCUUUAGUCUUUGAACAGGACAUAUUUAUUUUUUUAAAAACCCUGAAAAUUAUAAUCUCAAAUGAUCCCUUCUAUAUUUUCCUCCAAAUUGAAUGCAGUAACUUGGUCUCUUUGUAUUCUAAAAGGGGAUUCCGCUUCAGCAGGGCUGUUUGGAAACAGAUGACUAGGAGUACACUCCUUACUGUUGCCAGCAUGUUGAAAAUGAGGUCUAGUCCCUAUUUCAACUUGAUUCAACCUUAACUCCGAAUGCAGCCUUUUAACACGAAUAACCAUACAACUUAACAUAUGGGAAACAAUCUCCACAAUUCUCGGAUUCUAUUAAUUUGAUAUCUGGCCAAAAGCAAUGAUUCUCAAGUCUCAUUUAAGAACCCUUUCAAAUUAUUCUUUUGUAUCCUGGAACCCAAUUCCUGGCAGACAUGUAGGGUGAUUCUGCCAAUACCUGGUGAUAAAGUAAUCUAUGAAAUAAAAACCCAAAGUCCCUUAAAGGAAGAAACUUUUGAUAUCCAGUAGUUUGCUGGUUAGCCUUCCCAUCCACGGGUAUUCCACAUAAACACCCGGAGGCUCAUUCACACUUGGAAAUGCCAUCAAACCUGCAGAAGGUAUUACAUUUACAAUGGUACUAUAAAUUCUGCCUUUAUUAAAUGCAAAUACAUCAAAUAUAAAUGUUAAAUGAGGAGUAACUUUUAAUCAAGCGAUACCAACUCCUGAAUGCUUUCAACAUUUUAAACAGUUGAAGAAAACACAUAUUUAAAUGUUCAUCUUAAUAUUGGUAAAGCUGCAACUUUAAACAGUAUGUGACUUUUAAAAAGUAAACCAUUAAA